UGCAGGAUCAACCAGGUAGCAUUCCUUCGGGACAUCGGGUCGCAAGACGUAAAACAUCCGUGCGACACCGAACGUCAUUCGAGUGGGGCGUGUAAUGCCAAAUUUUGGGCAAAUAGAGGUCAAAGACCCCGUACCCGUAGCGUUUUCUGCGUCCCAAGGGUCUGUGAAUAUCAUGGGCCGAGAUUACAAGGCAAUGCGCAUGCAAUUCGAAACACAAGAUUCACUUUGAUGUUCACCCGAAGCCGCACCGUGAAAACGGGUAGCAGUGGGCGAACGUGCGAGGGUCGGCCAACGAAUUCCUUCGAUGUAGGUAUGCAACACAGGAAACCAGCACUCGGUCAAGGCUAAAGUAGCUCUUGUGCCAACGAUUGAAGAGGAAUGCACGGGAGAACG
rnacentral:misc_RNA from 1 species